rnacentral:rRNA from 1 species
UACGGGGGGGGCAAGCGUUGUUCGGAAUUACUGGGCGUAAAGGGCUCGUAGGUGGCCAACUAAGUCAGACGUGAAAUCCCUCGGCUUAACCGGGGAACUGCGUCUGAUACUGGAUGGCUUGAGUUUGGGAGAGGGACGCGGAAUUCCAGGUGUAGCGGUGAAAUGCGUAGAUAUCGAGAGGAACACCUGCGGCGAAGGCGGGUUGCUGGGCUGACACUGACGCUGACAGCGCGAAAGCUAGGGGAGCGAACGGG